GUUUAAUUUCUCCUUCUCUAGUUGCUCCUGUCUCAGAAGGCUAUGUCUUAACCAAUGAGAAAGGAUAAAUUCGCCCCUGUGGUUGAUAUUUAUGGGAAUGCAAGGUGACAGAAUCUCAAAGACUUCCUGGAGCUGCAGAGGGUGUUGCCAAUCAUCGUGGAAAUUUAAAGUAAAUGCUUUUUCUACAGAUGUUAAUGUCAUUGUUUAUUGACUGUUUACUCAGCUCAGAUGUAAUUGGGGUCAUUAGGGAUCCGGUCAAUACCUGACCUUUUCCAAUAAAGGGUGCACGCUGUGUUACUGGGCCUCACACCAGCCAGCCCUUACGUGGCGCGCAGCUGUUCCCACAGCGCAAAGCAGAAGCAGAGGCGCCAUCCAUCGCUGAAACUUUUUUGGGAAAAAAAAAUCUUCUGCUGUAGACAUGGUGUUUCAAAAAUCAGACAAAAUAUAUUUCAUGGAAAAUCUAUUUUGAGAUCGACAUUCAUUUGAAAAGCUAAAACUAGCAUCCGGAUAAAAAAAGGAAGGGAUGAAACAUCAAACUGAAAAUAUCUUUCUAUAUUGUGACAUUUUCGCAAAUGUAAAUGAGACCACCUUUAAGGCUGUCACAAGCAAAGAAAUUCAACUGGGGUCUUGAUGACUGAAGGGAUGUUAAAGAAUCUCUCAUCAACGGACCACAAAGAAUAAAGCGAAAACUAUCCGUAAUGUGCAGAUGUUAUCAGGAUGUGACUUCAGCACAACCCCACAUCCUGAUAAGGAGACAAAACUGCAGAUGUUUAAUAUAUUACAGGAACUAACCACAAAUUCUGUUUUGCUUCUCCAACUUUAUAAUGUUUAAUUUUUUUACGACGUGAAUUGCACUUUGGAAGAACUUCCUCUCAACUUAAUUACUUCGGAGCCAACCUUGCCCUUCAGGGCCUUUAUGCCAAACAAGCCUACAUUGUCUGGAUCAAAAGGACGGAAGAUUACAGAAUAAAAACACAGAAAAAGGAGAAAAAGUCCCAGUGCUUGGCCCAGUGUUGGGCACAUUAACACUGGCCAAUGAUGUGAGUUGAAUUAAAUCAUUGAACAAGAGAGAAGAACCCCAUUCUGGAUAUCAGACAAAGUAAAGGAUUCAAAUACGUGAAGACUUCCACACUCUCUGUCUAAAGGACCAUCUCUACUUGAUGAAGUAAAUGGGUGAAAAAGAAACUUCUUUUGACUCCAUCUGACUCUGUAUGGACUUACUAUGUGUUGGGAAGUAUCUACUUACAAAUGCGAAGUAUUUUUAGAAAAGCCUUAUAAAUCAUCAAAUUCUCGAAAAUCACCACUUACCAGGGAAGAUGACAUAACAGUUGCAUUCGAUUGCGUUCCUUCGGUAGGGGGGUGAGCAAGUUAUUAUUCAACACUAGGUCUUAAUGAAAAUUCGACACUGCGUUGCACUUACGGUGUUUGAAGCCAAUGUGGAAAUGUUAGAAGUUUUCUUUUGGUAAAACAUAUGCAUUGGCCUGGUGAGUGGAAAUGAGGGGCUGCUUAAAAGAUUUUUUUACCCAAAGCUUUUUGGACACAUUGCUGUAACCCUGGGAGGCUUGGUCUGAGCCCUGAACAGCAGUUGCCCAGAUGCAGAAAAAAGGCUUCAAAACCUCUCCUUUGACAAAGAGACAUGAAAUAAUAUCUGACAAAGGCAUCGCAAGCAAACAUGAUGGCAAAUCAGCAAUUAUACAGGCGACAAAGGAGAGCACAUCUCACUUCCAAAUGUCUUUUUUCUUCUUCUUCACAUUUUACUAAUAACAUCUCAUAGAGGUGCUUAGGUCAGUAUUUUUAAAAACAAUUUAAUAUAUGACCGUGCUUUGGGUUUGGUUUAACUCCUUUAUUACACUAAUGCUAUUUGUCAUUUCAUGCAUGUGUCAGCAUUGUUUUUGAAUGGCAAAAAAAGGUUGGGAAUAAACCAAGCACAAAGAAAGACACUUGCAGCUCACUAUAGGUAACUUUGUUUUAGAAAGGAGUAAAUACUCCACCAAGAUAGGCUAAACAGCACUUGCUGUCUCUUAAACGGAGUCGUAUGUGGAAGGAAGAGGACCUACAAUGAAUCAAAUAAUAUUGGUGAAGAGAAAAUGGCAGCAAAAUUAACCAGAUCCAAACUGCAUAGCUUCACUCUUUAAUCUCGAACUCUCUUGCUCUUGAAUUUGGAAAAUAGGUAAGAGAAAGGCUUUUAAAAAGAAGUUAUAAAGUUAAAUUUAAAUAUGAAAAUAUUUACCUUUUUUAUCCAAUAACAUACCAUGAAAAAUUUACAUUUGCAAAAUUAAUUUUGAGCCCAUCGUAUAAUAAAUCAUCAUUAAAACCAUAUGUGCCCAACGAAUUCAAGCCCAGGCUUCAACCGGGAUGGAUAUGAAGGAAAACAAUAAUGAUAAUAAAAGUAAUAAUGAUAUCAAUAAUAAUAAAUGAGAUGGAACAUGUACUUCACAAAUAACUGCAAUACACAGUUCCUCAAAAUCUCUGCCUUUUUAUUGCAUAAUGAUCAAUCUGCUACUGAUCAAAGGUAUGCUGUACCUCAAAUAAGCAAAAUGCUCAUGGUGUGAAAUUAAUGACAUGAACUGUAAAUGAAAACAAAGCUACUUAGGCCUUUAAAAUUAUUUUCUUUCAUGUGGAUUCAUUGCAGAAAAAUAAUGAAUUGCAGCCUCUUCUUUCCUGACAUAUUUGGGAUAGUUCACAUGACUUUGAAAUGGCUUAAAUAUUUUACCACCCACCAUAGAAUGUUCUGAAGAGGGGAAGGAAAACGUGUAUUUGUUUUGCCGGUGGUCAUUUCUUACUGUCUCAUUCAGUAUGUAGGAGUACAAAAAGUAUACUGUUAAAAGGAAAUGAGGAGCAAACUUAGUCAAAUGUAUUUAAAUGCAAGAAUAUAAGGGAUAUAUUAGAAGAUGCUUGAUAACUAGAAAUCAAUCCAUUUACCACAUGGUCUGUUAGUAUAAAGAUUCUGCAAGAUCUCAGAGAAUCUCGUGUGCUAAUCAAGUUAAUUAGCUGUAGAUAAGGAUACUCUUAAAAUUAGGUCUGUAAACACCAGACUUUUAUUUUAUUUUUUUUUAUUAUUUAUUUAUUUUUAAAAUUUUUAUUACAUUUAUUUAUUUUUGAGAGAGAGAGAGACAGCACAAG